UACGUAGGGCGCGAGCGUUGUCCGGAAUUAUUGGGCGUAAAGAGCUCGUAGGCGGCCUGUUGCGUCUGCUGUGAAAUCCCGGGGCUUAACCCCGGGCGUGCAGUGGAUACGGGCAGGCUGGAGGCAGGCAGGGGAGAAUGGAAUUCCCGGUGUAGCAGUGAAAUGCGUAGAUAUCGGGAGGAACACCAGUGGCGAAGGCGGCCUUCUGGGCCAGUACUGACGCUGAUGCACGAAAGCGUGGGGAGCAAACAGG
rnacentral:rRNA from 1 species